AAUAUUGCACAAUGGGGGAAACCCUGAUGCAGCGACGCCGCGUGAGCGAAGAAGGCCUUCGGGUCGUAAAGCUCUGUCCUAAGGGAAGAAACGGACGGUACCUUAGGAGGAAGCCCCGGCUAACUAUGUGCCAGCAGCCGCGGUAAUACGUAGGGGGCGAGCGUUAUCCGGUAUUAUUGGGCGUAAAGGGUGCGUAGGCGGCGUUUUAAGUCAGAUGUUAUAGGCUCCGGCUUAAUCGUAGUUAACUUUUGGAACUAAAAGGCUUGAGUGCGGGAGCGGGGAGAGGAAUUCCUAGUGUGGGGGUGAAAUACGUGGAUAGUAGGGGGAACACCAGUGGGUAGGGAGGCUCGCUGGUCCAUUCCUAACGCUGGGGUACGAAAGCGUGGGGGGCAAACA
rnacentral:rRNA from 1 species